AUGUGAGCAUGCGCUGAAGUACUUGGUAGAAGCGACCCAGCUGAAGUGCAAGACGGCUAUCGACAUCUACCAGGAUAAGGAUGGCAUGCGCACCGACGACAUCAAUGCUCUGGCUGGCCAACGAGCAGACAAGAAGGGAG
rnacentral:snRNA from 2 species